rnacentral:lncRNA from 10 species
GUGGAGGGAACGGGGCAGAGGGGACCCCCAUGCUGUAGGCCAGGCACUCAGGACUCUGGGCCAGCAGGCCAGGCCCCAGUGCUGCAUCAGCCCCACAGCCUCAGUUUACCCUCUGUAGGACAGACAGGGGUAGAAUGGCCGGGUCACGUGACAACUCCACGUUUACGAACUUUCUGAGAAACAACCGAACUGCUUUCCAGGGUGACUGCAUCGCUACAUUCCUACCAGCAGGGGGGGCGGUGUAUUUGCUAACAUGUCAGCCGCCCUGGCCUGGCGCAGAGGCUCACAACACCUUGGAGGCUGAAGCAGGUGGAUCGCCUGAGCCCAGGAGUUCAAGCCCAGCCUGGGAAACAUGGCAAAACCCUGCCUUUACUUAAAACAAAAAAUUAGCCAGAUAUGGUGGUGCACACCUGUAGUCCCAGUUACUCAGGAGGCUAAGGUGGGAGGAUCGCUUGAACCUGGCAGGUCGAGGCUGCAGUGAGCCAAGAUCACACAACUGCACUCCAGCCUGGGCAAGAGAGCAAGUCCCUAUCUCAACAACAACAAAAAAAAAAAGUUGGCCAUCCUAACGUGGAGCCUGAAGACGGGACUGAACUGCUGCCAUCUCAGGAUAAAACUCUAACAGGAUCUACUCCAGGCAAAGAUGUUGUGAACUGUGUUGAAAUGACAAGGAAUGAGAACAUUAUAUAAACUUAGUUGAUACAGCAGUGGCAGCAUUUGAGAGGACUGACUGCGAUGCUGAAAGGAGGUCCACUGGGUAAAACGCUAUCCAACAGAAUCGCAUGCUGCAGAGAAAUCUUUCGUGAAAGGAAGAGUGAAUCGAUGCGGCAAACCUCAUUCUUGCCUUAUUUUAAGAAAUCACCACAGCCGGGCGCAGUGGCUCAC